ACACAUAUUGCGGCGGCUCUAACUGCACAGCCCCGUGCUUGGGGACUUGGCACAUGAGAGCUAAUCCUUAACAGGUGGCCCUUGGGCAGCUCUGCCAGGCCCGGAGCGGCAAAGUGGCAGCGCCGUCAAUCAGAUGUCCUCUCAGAGAACUCCAUGGCAACGUGUUUAUACUUCUGGCUUCCUACAAGAACGAGAAAGAUGGGGGGAAGAAAAGGCGAAAGGAGAAAGGAAAGACCGCUGUAGGCCAAUCUCCACCGAGUAUGGUUGAACCGCAAUAAAAAAAAAAAAAAAAUCCAUACAUUUCAAUGUUUCUGUUGGCUUCUCUGGAGCUCAGAGCCUAACUUUUGAAAUAUUUAUUGGUCCGAAAGCAAGGGAAAAAGUUCUCCGAGAAGCCAGCUCGAUGGUCGUGUUUGGGUCUGACAGUUCCUUCCUCCCUCCGGGCACGGCCGGUGCCGCUCUCCCCGCUCAAACAGGGCAAGGGGGGUGCCGAGCUUCGUAUCUACAGGGGAAAACAGACACGGAAA
rnacentral:lncRNA from 1 species